rnacentral:rRNA from 1 species
CCAGACUCCUACGGGAGGCAGCAGUGGGGAAUAUUGCACAAUGGGGGAAACCCUGAUGCAGCAACGCCGCGUGAGUGAAGAAGUAUUUCGAUAUGUAAAGCUCUAUCAGCAGGGAAGAAAAUGACGGUACCUGACUAAGAAGCCCCGGCUAACUACGUGCCAGCAGCCGCGGUAAUACGUAGGGGGCAAGCGUUAUCCGGAUUUACUGGGUGUAAAGGGAGCGUAGACGGCAGCACAAGUCUGGAGUGAAAUCCCGGGGCUUAACCCCGGAACUGCUUUGGAAACUGUGCGGCUGGAGUGCAGGAGGGGUAAGCGGAAUUCCUAGUGUAGCGGUGAAAUGCGUAGAUAUUAGGAGGAACACCGGUGGCGAAGGCGGCUUACUGGACUGUAACUGACGUUGAGGCUCGAAAGCGUGGGGAGCAAACAGGAUUAGAUACCCGCGUAUA